AACACGGGCUCCCAUUGGCCAAUUAGCGAUGUGACGUGACCAAAGGAGAGCGGCGUUACUGGGGGGCUCCAGAACGCCGGGCAGUGGGCGGGGCUUCGUGUGGGCGUGUCCUCCCGUAGUGGGAGAGCCCUAGGACCUUGAGCUGCGCGCUAGCAUGAGCUGGUGGCGGGGAGUGGUGCGCUCUGUUUGGAGUGCCUUGUCCAGGGAGGUAAGGGAGCACGUGGGCACGGACCAUCUGGGGAACAAAUACUACUACGUCGCCGAGUACAAGAACUGGAGAGGGCAGACUAUGCGAGAGAAAAGGAUUGUAGAAACAGCAAACAGAACCGAGGUAGACUAUGAAGCAGGAGACAUCCCAACAGAGUGGGAAGCAUGGAUAAGAAGAAAAAGAAAGACUCCACCUACUAUGGAGGACAGCCUUCAUGUAUGUGGCUUCUCAAGCUCUGUGCAUCGCUUGCCCCAUUCAUCUUCCAUCUCCAGCAGCCAGCAGAUGAGUCAGUAAAUGUUAGCAGCCACUCACCGUGGACUCCUGUUCUCCUGGCUUUUGCUUCUCUGCCAUGUCACUGCCUUUCUAGGAAGAAAGCCACGGAGUUCCAACAUUGUCUUGUCUUCCGAAGAUUUUUAAUCCCUGCCUCCCUUCACAUAAGAGAGCAACGUUUUCUUUGUCUCCUACCAAAGUAGUUCAAUUAAAUAGGACUAAAGCUAAGUAUCUUUAAUUAUUUUCUAUUAGUGUUUAACUACUACGUUUUUCUAUUAAAUAAUGGUGUCUUUAUGCUCAGGUUUUUUGAAUGUAUUCAUGGGGAAGUUCAUUUCUUUUAUUCAAGGAAAUACCAGCACAAAACUAUUAAUGACUUAAGCUCUGUGAUUAGUUCGUUUUUGUGACAUUUCAAGAUUUAAUUAUUAAUCUGGCUCAAGUUCAAAGACAGAAAACUCAGUGCCAGAAAUUCCUAACCAGCAAAGAAUAUAAACAAACCUUACAAUUGUCCCCUCCAAUAACAAGAACCAGUGAGAUUAACUUCUUGUAAUUAGAGACACUUUGGGGGAAAAUGACAGAAGGGAGAGUUCAAGAAAGCAUGUCAAAACAAAAAACUCGGUGUGUAUUUUCAUUGCUGUAACUGAUCAGAGGAUGUUUGCAGUGGAUUUGAAAGUGCAUAAAUUAACUGUGACAUUGAUUUGGCAGAGGUGCAGAAGUGACUGGCAAGAACACACAGUGGAGCAGCAUGUGCUGGAGCAUACCUCCCCUGGCUGUUAUGCAGAGAUGUCCUUGUGCUAGCAUUCUGACCUGAGUGCUGGAGCCUACUUACUCACCCUUCUGGGUCAUCCUAGCUGAGCAAGACCAAUCCAUCACUGGUUAACAAAUCAGCCCUCUCCUUGGGUCUGAACACAGAAUACCUUAGGGGGACCUAGGCACCUCCCCCUUUUCUUUCUUUUCUAGACUGAAAAGGGGGUGAUCUAGUAACUCACUGUUUCAUCCCAACAGUUCACCUUGUACAACCAAGAAGGUAGUUUGAGCAACUGAGGGGCAUUUUCACACUUCAACAACAGUGCGUUUGGUAGGAUUAAGUUUGUCUCCCCGUGUUACAAAAUUGAUGUAAAAAAGGAGGUGGGCUAUAGCACUGUGGUAGUGGUAGAGGCCAUGAGUUCAAUCCCAGCCUCCACACACACGCACAAUGUACAUAUUCAGCUUCAAGUUCCCACUGUAGGAUGCUGAGAUGUGGAUCUCUGAGGUAUAUUAGUAGUGUGACACACUCCCAUCUUUGUGGUUAUCUGUAGUGUGGCAUUCACAAACAUACUGCUGGCCAAAUUUCACUUUUAACCUAUUGAUUAAAUCCUAAGUUAUUCCUCCGCAAGUAUAGUUUAACUCAUGAAAUGGAACUAGUGGAACUAGUACAAUUAGGCUUAUCCUGUCUGUGGUGUGUGUCUGAUAAGAGAUUAAAAUGUACAUAAAUUUUAGAGCAUAUACUUAGUAAUGUAAGCAUUUUAGAAUUAUGUCUUUCUAUGAGACCAAAAUUUCCCUUAUAUUUUUAUCUUACAUGUUCUCCUAUAUAUAUAGUGCCAAUUACUGUAUUAUAUGUAUUUUAACUUUAAGUGCUAACAUUUUAAAAAUUCCCAUUCUCAUUUUCUAUCUGUAGUAUAAUUUGAACUUCAUAAAAUUCAACAACAAAAACAGUUUUGUUCCUAUAGAGAAAUAUAAGAAUGGUAUGUGCCUGAAUCUGGCUGACUUCUAAGGCUUACUUGUUUGUACAUAAAAACUUUUCUAACAAUGAAAUGCCGUUGAAUUUAUUUAAACUGUAUUUUGAUUUUUCAGCAUGUUUUUUGAACCUACAUUUAACAUACUUGUGUACAUAGAAGUGUCAAGUACUGGUAGCUACAUAUACCUCAGGAAUGGGAGCUUGCACUUAAAAUCAGGCUCUGACAUGAAAUGGACGAGAGUCUUUAACCUGUCUUGGCUUUUUUUUUCCUGAUUAGAUUUCUAGGAAUUUGAAAGCAAAUGUGAUAACAGCUAAUGAAAGACUGUGUCCUCAACCAUCCUCUCCAUGUGAAAAGGACAUGGCUGAGGGUGUGACCCAGUGGCAGAGUGCAUGCUUAUCCUGUAAGAGGCCCUGGUUCAGUCCCACAAUCCCUCCCCUCAGAAUCAUAACAGUGACUUUGAAGGCCGUUAUUGUGGAACCUUUUAAAUUGGACACGAACAUCAUAUCGUCGGCAUCACACAGACAUAUACAUGAAAGCAUUACAGAAGGGCUUCUUGAUAGACUAAGGCUCUGUUGCUGUGGUUUAUUAUUUUAAAAAUAAACACUGAGCAGGGGUGGGAUCUCAAAUAACAUAAUGGAGACAGCCAUCUAUUCUGAUCAUGCAUGCAUCACAACACAAAAUGUAAGGAAGUCCAGUGGCUCACGCUGCUGUGAGGGCUGCACUGUUGCUAGGUUCACUGCUAACAGUGCUCCUCGAUGCUGUAGCUGAGGACCAAGACCUCACUUACAUACUCGGCUGCCCUUACUAGCGCAGACUCAGAAUCGUUCAUUUGCACACUAUUCUAGUGGCAGCCUCAGAGACAGAAGAACUUGAGAUGGAAGAUUCUGGUUAAUCUUUAGGACUUGCUCAGGUAUUUCUUGGCCUGUCCUUGUCCCCAGAACCCAUCGAGUCAUCGAAGCUUUGAUCCAUCCAUGGCAGCUUCCUCAGGGAGCAUGUACCAGCUCUCCCUUCUCUCUCAGAUUUAGAGUUCUGUCCAAGGCUCAGCUUUACGCUGCCUGGGUUUCCUUCUCUCUCAGGAUACACUAUUACAGGGACCUUUUCUCUAUUCUGCCAUUCGCUUUACCUCCUUUUAUCGUCUACAUUUCUAUCUCUUUCACUUAAGAUUUCCUACAGCCAUAACUAUAUGGUAGAGCUGAUUCCUCACCAUCGUAAAAAUGCCUCUCUAUUAUAAUCUCACAUAAAACACUGAUAAAGAGAGAUAACCCUCCUGAUUAUAUCAUGCCUAAUGUCUGUGACUGUGCUAUAUGUCAGCAUAUUAGUAGCGUGCAUAUUUAAGCCUUAAAAAAAAAAAACUUUAAAAGCUUUCUGGCAUCAUGAUUCAUGUAUCAAUUUACACCGUUGAAUACAGCUACCCAAAGGACUCUUAGCAAGUAAUGGCGUUACAGAGGACUUGACCACCUUCGGGGAGCUUGAGUUCGCAUUAAGGAAUCACACCAGAAAACAAGCCGUCUUCUCCGUAUGUGGCGAGCGUUUUGAAGGCAUUCAGGCUGUUUGUUCCCUUUUGCUAUUGUACCUCAUCCUCCACAAUGACAUUUAAGGUCACAGUUUUGACAUAUAAAAUAACCUAUAAAUUCAAACAAUAGGUAACAGUGAUGAGUCUGUCAGCUCUCACCAAAACAAGGCUCUAGAACAAACUAGUGUGUUGGCUGCAUGGGCAUAAGUCCUGCGGCCUGUUCAAAUGAGAGUUAUCACAGACACUGGUCACUCAUAAACGCGCUUAAGGAACAGCUUAGCGUACAGAUGCUGACUGAGUUCAGUGUGCUUUCUUCAUGAGCUUGGGAGGGAGUAAUAUUCUUCAGCUGUUCACUCCAUGGGACUUCAUGUCACCCUCCCAGAAUGGGGUUGACUCUCCUGCUCGUGAUUCAUGGUUGAUUCCAUGACUUGGCUUCAGACUGAAUCAAAAGACCAUUCUUGAUAUGCUACUCAAAAUCCCAUGUGUGGGGACGCAGAAAAUGAUGUAGUGCAUGCUGGUCUUGAUAGGCAGGUGCUUUCCCUUGGAUGGAAACAGGGUAGGCUUAAAGUGGUAAUGGAGAAUGUGCAUACCCGAACACUAGGUCCCUAGCUGGUACCGUCACCCGGAAGAACAGGUGUGUGGACGGAGGUGGAAAUAAGUUGCUAGGAAUGUGCUUGAUAGUGAAGCCCAGCUUCCUGACUGCUCUCUACUUCCUGUCCUGCUAAAAUGUGAAAAACUCAAGGCUUCCCAGCUGUACACUCUCAUAUCCACGCUCCUGCAGCCAUAGCUUCCCUACCCUGACAGACUGAAUCCCCUCAUUCUGUGAGCUGAAACAGCCAUCCUCCCUAAAGUUACUUGCUUCUUGUUGGUUAUUGAGGCACUAAGUAAUGCACACAGAGCUCUGGUAGUCUGAGGGCUGCAUAUGGGAUUAGCUGUCCUUCCUUCCAGGGUGCACUGUCCUGCACUAGGUCUGCAAAGCUAGAGUUGCUGUGGUAGCAACAUCAGUGGACAGGGUUCUGAUGGUCUUCAUAUUUUCCGAGAACUUGAAAGGAAUGGGCAAAGUUGCAGAAUACCCAACCCCUAGCAGUGUGUCCAGAAACCCUGAGUUUUUGUGUAGUGAAGUCCUUCAUUCUGACCCUUCCCUGUGGGCCUCAUCUUACUGUAUGGGGUCAGAUUUCAAUAUGUAGGACUUUCUACUUGUCAAAGUAUUUCCUCUAAUGUUUCUCAUCUUCAGAUUUGCCUGAGAUCAGUCAAGCUUCUGUUUGUCUGGAAAUGUUUGUUUCUUCUAUACCAUUAUUGGAGAACAGUUUAACAGGAUAGGGAAUUCUGUCUGGUCUUCUUACUUGAGCACUUUAAAGCUGUUCUCUUGUCUUAGCACACCCACGAUUUCUGAGAGAACUCAGUGGUUCUCACAUCCAUUUUCCCUUUCCUCUAAAGGGUCCCCCUUCUCAUCAGUUUUUAGCAGUUUGAUUUUGGUGUGUGAUCAUCCCAAUUAGGGUCUGUUGAGCUUCCUGAAUAUGUAAGUUUGUAUUUGUAUCCCCUUUGGGUACUUUUGAUCAUUAUUUCCCUUGUGUGUGUGCGCGGAAUGAACAACUUGUUACGUCCCCACCUCACUGAGGCUCUAUUUUGUAAGCUUUUCUAAUCCUUCGUUUCAGUUUGUAGCUCUCAGACUGUGUCCAAUCUGCUGCUAAACUGCACUCAAGUUUUCUUGGCAUGUACAUUUCUCCCCUAGUUUUUAUCUUGGUCUCUGUUUCCUGCCUUUCCUCCUUUGGCCUUUACAGCUGAACAUUUUUAUGUGACUGUAAUGGCAUCCAUAUUUGUUGGGUCCAUCAUUUCAAGGUCUAUAACUGUGGGCUACAUUUAAAUCGCACUUUCUCUUCCUGCUUGCAUGGUGACCGCUAAGGUAUUCCUUUGUUUAACCUGUGGGUCUUGUUGUCUUUCCUUUUACUGGGGUUUGUACUGAAGGGCUGUUAAUUGACAGGUGAAUCAUCUCAGAAUCCUGGAGGAUUAUUCUUUUUAAGUUCUACUAGACACUGUCUAGAAUAGUAUACUCCUAUAAGAGAUUCUGUAGUGAUGGAGACUUUGUAUCUGUCUUUUCCGGUAUGGUAGCCACUCUAUAGGCUGUUAAAUACUUUGUGACUUUUUUUUUUAAAGAUUUAUUUAUUUAUUAUAUAUAAGUACACUGUCGAUGUCUUCAGACACACCAGAAGAUGGCAUUGGUUCUCAUUACAGAUGGUUGUGAGCCACCAUGUGGUUGCUGGGAUUUGAACUCAGGACCUCUGGAAGAGCAGCUAGUGCUCUUAACCACUGAGCCAUUUCUCCAGCCCCCACUUUGUGACUUCUAAAUCCUAUUUACACUAAGUUAAAUCCACAUAACAUCUGGCUACCACAUUCACUAGCACAGCUCUAAAGCAAAGCCUGCUCUUAGGCCAUUUGCUUCUAAUCCAAGCAGUCAGUAUACGGUUUGCCCAGGCGCUCCUACGGUUUGGUUCCUUAGAACUUGAAUGUCUCCUAAUCCAGGGCUAGCUCCAGCAGUGGCCCAUCUUCCCGCUCUGCUAUAAGACUUGGCCAGAAGUCUUCCCGGCUGACUUGGUGAAGGCCCCCAUUACACAGCUGGUAUCCUUCUGAGCGCUCAAGUGGGUCCUGGUGCAGUCUAGACCUUGAUAGUCUGCUCAGCGUAGUCCGUCUUCCUUAGUCUCCAUAGGCAACCAGCAUUAUGGCUUGGGCUUAGUGAGAUGCCAUCCUUGGCUGGGGCCCUAGCCUAUGUGGAGUCCAUAAUGUGUAUCCAGACAGAAAUGCAGGGUAACAGGCAUUACCUCACUUUAUCCCUCAUCUUUCAGAAGUCACAGCUGGGCACCCACCAAUGGGCUUUGUACAUUUUUCUACUUUUUUUUUUUUAAAGCAGAUUAAUGUGAUACCGUCUUGGUAGGAAAUUUGAAGAUUACAUUAUAUCACCUCCUUUCUCUGUUUCAAGGGGAUAAGGUAGGGAAGUAGUCCUGAAGUAGAGCACUGCCUGGCUUGCAGGCAGCCUAGGCUUAAGUCCCUACUAGUACAGGAGCUAAAAAAGGAGAAUGGGUGGAAGUUGGGUGUUUAUUUCUUAGCACAGUGGAGUAAACAGUCACUUUUUAAGUCAGCGUGAACUUUCAUUGUUAGACUGUUACCACCCAGCAGCCAUUUUCCUUAUGAUUUCUCUAAUUCAGAAUCUUUACUGCUCUGAUGAUUUACUCAUUCAUAUCCCGUGUUGUCUCCUUUGUUCAUUAACCUAUUUUACCCUCUUUGAAAUUAUUCUUCCUUUUAGAAACAACCAUCCGAAUUCUUUGUGCAGCAUUUCAUCCAGUUUUGUGUCCAUCCAUUUUGAAUGAAGUUUUGUAUUUUUAAGAGAUAGGGUCUCACUUAGCCCAACUGGUCAGGCACUGGCUGAGACUAGCAAGGACCUUGAACUCUAAAUUCUCCUGCUUCCACCUCAAGGAAACUAAACUUACAGACCUGUGUGCCACCACCAUGGUUGGUUGACGACAUCAUGUUCUAGCACUGUGCAAUGGAUUUCUUUUUGAGCUAGUUUGCUGCAGAGGAGGGGGUCACUUUCAGACUAACUCCCUGGGCUGGAUCUAAAGUUUGUAAGAAUCAUGGGUUUUCCUGGAACUGUAAUUGCUGGUCUCCCAGUUUACUUCAUUCACACUCCCCCCUCCCCUCCAGGGAGCCAAUCUUAAAACAUGGGCACUCUGGGCCUGAUUCUCUGCUUCGUCCUUUAUCCUUGGAGCUCACCCUGUUUCCUUAUACUCUAGUCUGUCAUUGUCAUGUGAAGUAUAACUUCUAUCCUGCCUUCUUACCCUGGACCUGAAAGGAUUUAAUUGCCUUUUCUGAACGGUCUACGUAACAAUGUUCCUGUGACAGACUUGUAUUCAGUGGAAGACAAGACUAACAGAAUCACUGUAAUUUUUAGUAUAGGUCCCAGGUAGAGCCAACUGCAGAAGCCCCUGCAGACUGACUGCUGUGAGGACACACUUCAGCAGGGACGUGCCCCUGUCUGUCGCUCCAGUCUAGGACAUGCUGAACUCUCAGCUCCCGUUCUCCACUAGACCACUCUAGGGGAAAAGAAAUAGGUGGAGCUUCAACCGGCAAUCUAGAAGGAAAUACUAAAGAAUGAAAAAUACAGAGAAGAAAUUAAAAUAAAAAGCCAAGAUUUUUAUGAAAAAGAUAAACUCGGUAAAGAAACCAGU